CUAGGCAAAUGAUGUUUCAGAUGAUUUCAAUUUUCCAAUCCGAGAUCCUGUUGAUAGAGAAUUGCAAUCUAGUAACUUGUUUCUUGCCAAGGCCUGGUUUCUUACCGAUCAACGGAUGACAAGAAGCCGGUCUUCUGAAUUGCGGUAUUAUCAUCGCACCUUGUAUAUCUUUUUCAAAAUCAUGUUCACAAAAAGCACUUAUAUGAUUAGUGCUUAUGCUAUAA